rnacentral:rRNA from 1 species
UCCUGGCUCAGGAUGAACGCUAGCGACAGGCUAACACAUGCAAGUCGAGGGCAGCAUAAAAGUAGCAAUACUUGGUGGCGACCGGCGCACGGGUGAGUAACGCGUAUGCAACCUACCUAUCAGAGGGGAAUAACCCGGCGAAAGUCGGACUAAUACCGCAUAAAACAGGGACACCGCAUGGUGAUAUUUGUUAAAGAAAUUCGCUGAUAGAUGGGCAUGCGUUCCAUUAGGUAGUUGGUGAGGUAACGGCUCACCAAGCCGACGAUGGAUAGGGGAACUGAGAGGUUGGUCCCCCACACUGGUACUGAGACACGGACCAGACUCCUACGGGAGGCAGCAGUGAGGAAUAUUGGUCAAUGGGCGAGAGCCUGAACCAGCCAAGUCCGCGUGAAGGAAGAAGGAUCUAUGGUUCGUAAACUUCUUUUGCAGGGGAAUAAAGUGCAGGACGUGUCCUGUUUUGUAUGUACCCUGAGAAUAAGGAUCGGCUAACUCCGUGCCAGCCGCCGC